rnacentral:rRNA from 1 species
CCUACGGGUGGCAGCAGUGGGGAAUAUUGCACAAUGGGGGAAACCCUGAUGCAGCGACGCCGCGUGAGUGAAGAAGUAUUUCGGUACGUAAAGCUCUAUCAGCAGGGAAGAAAAUGACGGUACCUGACUAAGAAGCCCCGGCUAACUACGUGCCAGCAGCCGCGGUAAUAUGUAGGGGGCAAGCGUUAGCCGGAAUUACUGGGGGUAAAGGGAGCGUAGACGGCAGCGCAAGUCUGGAGUGAAAUCCCAUGGCUUAACCAUGGAACUGCUUUGGAAACUGUGCAGCUAGAGUGCAGGAGAGGUAAGCAGAAUUCCUAGUGUAGCGGUGAAAUGCGUAGAUAUUAGGAGGAACACCAGUGGCGAAGGCGGCUUACUGGACUGUAACUGACGUUGAGGCUCGAAAGCGUGGGGAGCAAACAGGAUUAGAUACCCCGGUAGUC